rnacentral:rRNA from 1 species
CUACGUGCCAGCAGCCGCGGUAAUACGUAUGUCACAAGCGUUAUCCGGAUUUAUUGGGCGUAAAGCGAGCGCAGGCGGUUAGAUAAGUCUGAAGUUAAAGGCUGUGGCUUAACCAUAGUACGCUUUGGAAACUGUUUAACUUGAGUGCAAGAGGGGAGAGUGGAAUUCCAUGUGUAGCGGUGAAAUGCGUAGAUAUAUGGAGGAACACCGGUGGCGAAAGCGGCUCUCUGGUUUGUAACUGACGCUGAGGCUCGAAAGCGUGGGGAGCAAACAGGAUUAGAUACCCUGGUAGUCCACGCCGUAAACGAUGAGUGCUAGGUGUUAGACCCUUUCCGGGGUUUAGUGCCGUAGCUAACGCAUUAAGCACUCCGCCUGGGGAGUACGACCGCAAGGUUGAAACUCAAAGGAAUUGACGGGGGCCCGCACAAGCGGUGGAGCAUGUGGUUUAAUUCAAAGCAACGCGAAGAACCUUACCAGGUCUUGACAUCCCUCUGACCGCUCUAGAGAUAGAGUUUUC